AUAAAACAUCAUUUUCUGUCUCCUGAAAUCUAGGAAUGAAUCUGCAUUAGAAGUUGCUAAAGGUACUUCAAGCCCCAAAUUUCGAGUCUAUGGUGUAAAUUAAGGCAGAAAAUAUUGUCUUUUGAAACUGUCUGUGCAGAGGUUUUUUCCACAAUUAUUUUUUCACCUGCCAAAAAGAGAAAACAACAGCAUUGUUAGCACACAAGCACACUUUUCCUGCCUGAGGCCCGAGAGCUGGAGUCAGUAGCAAUUUACCACUGUGUGCAAACAUAAAUUUGAACGCAACUUGGUUUCACUCUGGUCAUCAGGAACUGCAGAAUGAAAACAACAGUCUUUGCAUGUCAUUAACGGAUUCAGAAAGUUUUGAGUUUUCAUCACUGUGAUUAAUUAAGAGAGAGAAAUGGAGUUUUCACAGGAUGAGGUGUUUGCAGAUUGCCUGACAUGGUGCUUACAGCUAAGGAGCAGGCAGCAGCAGCACAGAGCAAUCAAAACAACCUCCCCACAGCUCCUGCUUUUGAUUGUUUGCAGGAGAGACGGUAUACACAAAAUAUUUUGCAAAACAUGUGCUGCUAUGUCACCAUUUCAUCAAGGACCGAUGCAACUAUUUCUUCAUCUCACCUGCCUUUGUGACCUCUGGGAAGAGAUACUGUACCUGGUCCAUUCCUGUGAGGAGAGAGAAAUUACUUUACCCUCAGUAAAUGCAAGGGAUGGGAUGAAGUGCUCAGGACAGCUUGCUUUUUCACUUCCUUGAGCAGAAAGUUCUUUUUAAGCAUCUUUUUCCCUUCCUCUGCUGAUUCUGUGAAAGCUGUGUGGCUGUGAAUAACAUGUUGGAUUUCUGAAGUAGCCCAGUGAAUGUGAGAUAAUGAAGUUGUGGCUAAGGUGCAGGACAUUUUCAAUGGCAAGCCUUUGCCUGUGGAUUUUUCUCCUUUCUGAAUUAUAUUUCAGGCAAGCAGCUUUAAAGCAGCUUGCCUACACUACAGAUAAAACCGUGCUCUGCAUAGCUAGGUCUGAUGCGCUUAUCCAACACAGUGUGCUUACCCCAGUUGUGUCCGCACAGCAUUUGUCCCAGCACACCCCAUGUCAGCCCUGGUGACUGUCAGCAGGAGCAGUGCCAAGCAGCCAGGUCUGUAUGCUGGCAGUGCCUGCCUUCCUCAUGCGUGCUCCUCUGUGCGUCCCUCUUCACGCUGUGGCACAAGCCCAGUCAAGAUCACCAGCGAGAGAAAACAUGCUCAAAAAAAUGGUUCACAGCCAGGACAACAUGUUACUGACCCAUUACAGGCUCACCACCUGCAUGCCAUGAGGAAUCACAGUGUGUCUGACCUGUGCGGGUUCGGCUGCACGCAGCCUCCCCAACUCGUUAAAA
rnacentral:lncRNA from 1 species